GUCCUCUACGAACCGGCGGGAAAGAUAAAACCUUCGGUUUGUACUCUGCUUCGUGAACUAUGUUGUGACCCCGCUCCCUUUUCCCUCAGAGACCUGCAGACGGACGGUAGUGUUGGCUUGAGUUUUUGUUACGAAGCUUGCUUUUCAGUUUCACCCCUAAGCUAAACUGAACUAUUUCUUAAAAAGCCUUGGAAAAUGUGUUUCCCUCAAUGUGUUUGGAAGGAAGCGGUUGCUCCUGUUACUUUGAGCCAGUCCCUGAUGCUAUGAGAAAUUCUAAAGAAAAUAAUACACAGCGAGCCAGCGCGUGUAACCUGAUUAACACUAUGUAGCCUCACGAACAGAAGUUAAUAUUAGCUACUACUCCUAGAAGAAUGACGUUGGCCUAGUUGAAUUUGACGAGGUUGACUGUUAUGUGACCAAGAAGGACAUAAUAAAUCAUGACAUUUGAAGAACAUCCUGAGUUCAAAGGGGAGGUGACAUUUGGUCUAGGCCUUAAAGGAAAAGUUGGAAUUCUGCAGUGGCCAGGAGAGGCCAAAACAUUCCACGCUGAGACACAGAGGUAUGAGGGAGCUUGGUGUGUUUAGGAGAUAGCUAGUCAGACUGACCAAAACAUGGUGCUGGUAAUUGUGGGGAUGGUGGGCAGAAAUUGACAGGGAAAGAGGCUACUAGA